rnacentral:rRNA from 1 species
UACGUAGGGUGCGAGCGUUAAUCGGAAUUACUGGGCGUAAAGCGUGCGCAGGCGGUUCGUUGUGUCGGCGGUGAAAGCCCCGGGCUUAACCUGGGAAUGGCCGUUGAAACUGGCGAACUGGAGUGUGGCAGAGGGGGAUGGAAUUCCGCGUGUAGCAGUGAAAUGCGUAGAUAUCAGGAGGAAUACCGAUGGCGAAGGCAGGUCUCUGGGCUGACACUGACGCUCAUGCACGAAAGCGUGGGGAGCAAACAGG